AGUUUGAUCCUGGCUCAGGAUGAACGCUAGCUACAGGCUUAACACAUGCAAGUCGAGGGGCAGCAUUUCAGUUUGCUUGCAAACUGGAGAUGGCGACCGGCGCACGGGUGAGUAACACGUAUCCAACCUGCCGAUAACUCGGGGAUAGCCUUUCGAAAGAAAGAUUAAUACCCGAUGGUAUAAUUAGACCGCAUGGUCUUGUUAUUAAAGAAUUUCGGUUAUCGAUGGGGAUGCGUUCCAUUAGGCAGUUGGUGAGGUAACGGCUCACCAAACCUUCGAUGGAUAGGGGUUCUGAGAGGAAGGUCCCCCACAUUGGAACUGAGACACGGUCCAAACUCCUACGGAAGGCGGCAGUGAGGAAUAUUGGUCAAUGGGCGCAGGCCUGAACCAGCCAAGUAGCGUGAAGGAUGACUGCCCUAUGGGUUGUAAACUUCUUUUAUAUGGGAAUAAAGUUUUCCACGUGUGGAAUUUUGUAUGUACCAUAUGAAUAAGGAUCGGCUAACUCCGUGCCAGCAGCCGCGGUAAUACGGAGGAUCCGAGCGUUAUCCGGAUUUAUUGGGUUUAAAGGGAGCGUAGGUGGACAGUUAAGUCAGUUGUGAAAGUUUGCGGCUCAACCGUAAAAUUGCAGUUGAUACUGGCUGUCUUGAGUACAGUAGAGGUGGGCGGAAUUCGUGGUGUAGCGGUGAAAUGCUUAGAUAUCACGAAGAACUCCGAUUGCGAAGGCAGCUCACUGGACUGCAACUGACACUGAUGCUCGAAAGUGUGGGUAUCAAACAGGAUUAGAUACCCUGGUAGUCCACACAGUAAACGAUGAAUACUCGCUGUUUGCGAUAUACAGUAAGCGGCCAAGCGAAAGCAUUAAGUAUUCCACCUGGGGAGUACGCCGGCAACGGUGAAACUCAAAGGAAUUGACGGGGGCCCGCACAAGCGGAGGAACAUGUGGUUUAAUUCGAUGAUACGCGAGGAACCUUACCCGGGCUUAAAUUGCAUUUGAAUAUAUUGGAAACAGUAUAGUCGUAAGACAAAUGUGAAGGUGCUGCAUGGUUGUCGUCAGCUCGUGCCGUGAGGUGUCGGCUUAAGUGCCAUAACGAGCGCAACCCUUAUCUUUAGUUACUAACAGGUUAUGCUGAGGACUCUAGAGAGACUGCCGUCGUAAGAUGUGAGGAAGGUGGA
rnacentral:rRNA from 1 species